AGUGAACGCUGGCGGUAGGCCUAACACAUGCAAGUCGAACGGCGGCACAGAGGAGCUUGCUCCUUGGGUGGCGAGUGGCGGACGGGUGAGGAAUACAUCGGAAUCUACUCUGUCGUGGGGGAUAACGUAGGGAAACUUACGCUAAUACCGCAUACGACCUACGGGUGAAAGCAGGUGAUCUUCGGACCUUGCGCGAUUGAAUGAGCCGAUGUCGGAUUAGCUAGUUGGCGGGGUAAAGGCCCACCAAGGCGACGAUCCGUAGCUGGUCUGAGAGGAUGAUCAGCCACACUGGAACUGAGACACGGUCCAGACUCCUACGGGAGGCAGCAGUGGGGAAUAUUGGACAAUGGGCGCAAGCCUGAUCCAGCCAUACCGCGUGGGUGAAGAAGGCCUUCGGGUUGUAAAGCCCUUUUGUUGGGAAAGAAAUCCAUCUGGUUAAUACCCGGGUGGGAUGACGGUACCCAAAGAAUAAGCACCGGCUAACUUCGUGCCAGCCGCCGCGGUAA
rnacentral:rRNA from 1 species